rnacentral:lncRNA from 1 species
UUAGAUCCUCCCAUUCUAACCUUCUGUAAUAUUGAUGUUAUGAUCCCAGACCUAUGUUUUAUGAUUCUUCAAGCAAAAGUGACUCUACUGUAAAGGAUUAGAGCAAAGCUGGAGGAUGGUAUGGAUGGAGAGAUGCCCAGACAUCUGAACUCUUGUUAGCUGACCAACAAAUUUGUUGAAAUGCAGCCAAGUCAGUCUAAUCAUUUCCCCGUAGCAGGCAACAAAAACCAAUUCAUGCUCCCUUCAACAAAGAAGGAACUGCCUGGAAGGAUGUCAGGGAUUCACAGAAUUGACCAGAAAUUGGAACUGAGGGAGCUUCAGAGGAACCACAACAAAAAUCAUAACACAGGAACAAUGUGGUCUUCACACUGACUCUGUUACGAUUUCCAGUUCUAACUUUGGUGUUGUCUCACUGCUCUCGACUGAAAUUUCUGAAAUAGAGUCUCCAAAUGAUCGUGCCUCGGGCCCAGGCUCAGGUGACACUCCCUAAAACUGUACACAAAGGGAGAUUCCUCUAAAGGGAAAUUAGGAUGAAAAUGGGAAGUGGGGUUAAAACUAACAAAUGCACCAUUUGCAACGACGUGGAUGGAACUGGAGGAUGUUAGGCUGAGUGAAAUAAGUCAAUCAGAGAAAGACAUGUAUCAUAUGACCUCACUGAUAUGAGGAAUUCUUAAUCUCAGGAAACAAAUUGAG